rnacentral:tRNA from 1 species
GGAACAUUAGCUCAGUUGGCUAGAGUACUACGUUGACAUCGUAGGGGUCACUGGUUCGAGCCCAGUAUGUUCCACCA